rnacentral:rRNA from 1 species
GACGAAGGUGGCGAGCGUUGUUCGGAAUCACUGGGCAUAAAGCGCACGUAGGCGGCUAAGUAAGUCGGAUGUGAAAUACCUCGGCUCAACCGAGGAACUGCGUCCGAUACUGCUUGGCUUGAGGUCCGGAGGGGAGAGUGGAAUUCCCGGUGGAGCGGUGAAAUGCGUAGAGAUCGGGAAGAACGCCGGCGGCGAAAGCGACUCUCUGGUCGGAAUCUGACGCUGAGGCGCGAAAGCCAGGGGAGCGAACGGG